rnacentral:sRNA from 1 species
GGAGCUGGGCCAAGGUGUGAUACGAGAAUUCUGAGGGAAGAGUGCAUGGCGGGGCCUGUGGCCCGCGGCUAGUGUGACUCAGGGGAAUCAGGGCCUGGGCGUGGGUUUCUCCUGAAGCCAGGUCUGCUCUCCCACCUUCCCAGCGCACUCGGCCACCGUUUAUCUCCGUCUCCUAAGGAAUGCCGUCUUGGAAGCCGAUUUUGCAAAGAGGGGAUACAAGCUUCCAAAGGCCCGGAAAACUGGCACGACCAUCGCUGGGGUGGUCUAUAAGGAUGGCAUAGUUCUUGGAGCAGAUACAAGAGCAACUGAAGGGAUGGUUGUUGCUGACAAGAACUGUUCAAAAAUACACUUCAUAUCUCCUAAUAUUUAUUGUUGUGGUGCUGGGACAGCUGCAGACACAGACAUGACAACCCAGCUCAUUUCUUCCAACCUGGAGCUCCACUCCCUCUCCACUGGCCGUCU